UGGGAAUAAUGGAUGAAAUCCACUCACAUUAAGCACAAAAUGUACCACGAAAUAGCGGUGCAUCAAAUCUCCCCCCUUAAACUAUAGCAUGUCCUCAUGCUAAACCAAGAGAGAAACAAAGGGUACUAUCAUUUAUUCAAUGAAAACUAACUAUAUGCAACCUAUCUAUAUGCAACUAUCUAAAUGAAUGCAAUUGCUUGGUCAAAAUAAAUCAAUUUCCAAGAAAGCAUGUAUGCACAUAAGGGCUAAAGUUAUUAACAACCAAGCCAAGCUACAAUUGAAUUGAGUUAUUAAAGAUUUUACAAAC
rnacentral:lncRNA from 1 species